rnacentral:rRNA from 1 species
UACGUAGGGGGCAAGCGUUGUCCGGAAUCAUUGGGCGUAAAGCGCGUGUAGGCGGCCCGGUAAGUCCGCUGUGAAAGUCGGGGGCUCAACCCUCGAAUGCCGGUGGAUACUGUCGGGCUAGAGUGCGGAAGAGGCGAGUGGAAUUCCUGGUGUAGCGGUGAAAUGCGCAGAUAUCAGGAGGAACACCGAUGGCGAAGGCAGCUCGCUGGAACGGUACUGACGCUGGAGGCGACGAAAGCGUGGGGAGCGAACAGG